CAGGAGUGGUUCACACCAUAUACCUUUAAAUACGUAUUCCUAAAAAUACGUAUUUAGGAAUACGUAUUUAAAGGUAUAUGGUGUGAACCACUCCUG